GAUGAACGCUGGCGGCGUGCUUAACACAUGCAAGUCGAACGAUAAAGCCCAGAUUGCUGGGUGGAUUAGUGGCGAACGGGUGGGUAACACGUGAGUACACUGCCCUUAACUCUGGGAUAAGCCUGGGCAACUGGGUAUAAUACCGGAUAGGAGCGUCCACCGCAUGGUGGGUGUUGGAAAGAUUAUUCGGUUUUGGCUGGACUGGCGGCCUAUCAGCUUGUUGGUGAGGUAGGGGCUAACGAAGGCCAAGACGGGUAGCCGGCCUGAGAGGGGGACCGGGGACACUGGGACUGAGAGACGGCCCAGACUCCUACGGGAGGCAGCAGUGGGGAAUAUUGCACAAUGGGCGCAAGCCUGAUGCAGCGACGCCGCGUGAGGGAUGACGGCCUGCUGGUUGUAAACCUCUGUCAGUAGGGAAGAAGCGAAAGUGACGGUACCUGCAGAAGAAGCACCGGCUAACUACGUG
rnacentral:rRNA from 1 species